GAUUGUUAGUUGAACUCCCUCUAUAUGUCUUUGAAAAAAAAUGAAAUAAAGACUUGUCUCUUGUUAAAGACUGUUAGUUGAACUCCCUCUUUGUUUCUUUGAAAAACAAUAUGGAAUGAAGACUUGUCUCUUGUUAAAGACUGUUAGUUGAACUCCCUCUAUAUUUCUUUGAAAAACAAAAUGGAAUAAAGACUUGUCUCUUGUUAAAGACUAUUAGUUGAACUCUCAAUAUGUCUUUGAAAAACAAAAUGGAAUAAAGACUUGUCUCUUGUUAAAGACUGUUAGUUGAACUCCCUCUUUAUUUCUUUGAAAAACAAUAUGGAAUGAAGACUUGUCUCUUGUUAAAGACUGUUAGUUGAAAUCCCUCUAUAUUUCUUUGAAAAACAAAAUGGAAUAAAGACUUGUCUCUUGUUAAAGACUGUUAGUUGAACUCUCUCAAUAUGCAUUUGAAAAAGAAAAUGGAAUAAAGACUUGUCUCUUGUUAAAGACUGUUAGUUGAACUCUCUCAAUAUGUCUUUGAAAAACAAAAUUGAAUAAAGACUUGUCUCUUGUUAAAGACUGUUAGUUGAACUCCCUCUUUAUUUCUUUGAAAAACAAUAUGGAAUGAAGACUUGUCUAUUGUUGAAGACAGUUAGUUGAACUCCCUCUAUAUGUCUGAAAAAAAUAUGGAAUAAAGACUUGUCUAUUGUUAAAGACUGUUAGUUGAACUCCCUCUAUAUGUCUGAAAAAAAUAUGGAAUAAAGACUUGUCUCUUGUUAAAGAUUUUGAACUCCCUCUAUAUGUCUGAAAAAAAUAUGGAAUAAAGACUUGUCUCUUGUUAAAGACUGUUAGUUGAACUCUCUCAAUAUGUCUUUGAAAAACAAAAUGGAAUAAAGACUUGUCUCUUGUUAAAGACUGUUAUUUGAACUUCCUCUAUAUGUCUUUGAAUAAAAUAUGGAAUAAAGACUUGUCUAUUUUUGAAGACAGAUAGUUGAACUCCCCCUAUAUGUCUGAAAAAAAUAUGGAAUAAAGACUUGUCUCUUGUUAAAGAUUGUUAGUUGAACUCCCUCUAUAUGUCUGAAAAAAAUAUGGAAUAAAGACUUGUCUCUUGUUAAAGACUGUUAGUUGAACUCCCGCUAUAUGUCUGAUAAAAAUAUGGAAUAAAGACUUGUCUCUUGUUAAAGAUUAUGAACUCCCUCUAUAUGUCUGAAAAAAAUAUGGAAUAAAGACUUGUCUCUUGUUAAAGACUGUUAUUUGAACUUCCUCUAUAUGUCUUUGAAUAAAAUAUGGAAUAAAGACUUGUCUAUUUUUGAAGACAGAUAGUUGUCUUUGGGUUGCUUUCUCAUUGACUCACAUCAUCUUAGAUUCAAACUCAUAAACUCCAUACCGUCAAUCUGUGAAAAUGAAAAUACAUGACCUGCAUUGGGUAAAAAAAUAUCUGAUCAUAUUGUGUACAAAUUUUUUUCAGCUGAAUUUUACAUGUUUUGAUAUUAUCUGAAAGGUAAUUAUUUUAUUGUAAACAAUAUCAAACAAUGCCAUACUUUGUAUUCAUGUUACUGCAACAAACUAAAAUGUUAUUAUGAAUCCUUUUGUUCACAGUAGAUUUGCAAUUUCAUGUACUGUUAAAAUUGAUGUUUAUUUUACAUCAGAAAAUUCAAAUUUUAAGGUAAAUAAAGUAUGCUGAAA